rnacentral:rRNA from 1 species
UACGGGGGGGGCAAGCGUUGUUCGGAAUUACUGGGCGUAAAGGGCUCGUAGGUGGCCAACUCAGUCAGACGUGAAAUCCCCAGGCUCAACUUGGGAACUGCGUCUGAUACUGGAUGGCUUGAAUUCGGGAGAGGGAUGCAGAAUUCCAGGUGUAGCGGUGAAAUGCGUAGAUAUCUGGAGGAAUACCGGUGGCGAAGGCGGCAUCCUGGACCGAGAUUGACACUGAUGAGCGAAAGCUAGGGGAGCAAACGGG